rnacentral:rRNA from 1 species
AACGAACGCUGGCGGCAGGCUUAACACAUGCAAGUCGAGCGCCCCGCAAGGGGAGCGGCAGACGGGUGAGUAACGCGUGGGAACGUACCCUUUGCUACGGAAUAGCUCCGGGAAACUGGAAUUAAUACCGUAUGUGCCCUACGGGGGAAAGAUUUAUCGGCAAAGGAUCGGCCCGCGUUGGAUUAGCUAGUUGGUGGGGUAAUGGCCUACCAAGGCGACGAUCCAUAGCUGGUCUGAGAGGAUGCUCAGCCACAUUGGGACUGAGACACGGCCCAAACUCCUACGGGAGGCAGCAGUGGGGAAUAUUGGACAAUGGGCGCAAGCCUGAUCCAGCCAUGCCGCGUGAGUGAUGAAGGCCUUAGGGUUGUAAAGCCCUUUCACCGGAGAAGAUAAUGACGGUAUCCGGAGAAGAAGCCCCGGCUAACUUCGUGCCAGCAGCCGCCGUAAAAC